rnacentral:rRNA from 1 species
GCAAGUCGAACGCGAAAAGUCCCCUUCGGGGGACAAGUAGAGUGGCGCACGGGUGAGUAACACGUAGGUAAUCUACCUUUGGAUGGGGAAUAACAACCGGAAACGGUUGCUAAUACCGCAUAAUGCAGCGGCACCUAAUGGUGACAGUUGUUAAAGCGGGGGAUCAAAGACCUCGCGUCUGAAGAGGAGCCUGCGGCGGAUUAGCUAGUUGGUAAGGUAAUGGCUUACCAAGGCUACGAUCCGUAACCGGCCUGAGAGGGCGGUCGGUCACACUGACACUGACAUACGGGUCAGACUCCUACGGGAGGCAGCAGUCGGGAAUUUUGGGCAAUGGGCGAAAGCCUGACCCAGCAACGCCGCGUGAAGGAUGAAAUCCCUCGGGAUGUAAACUUCGCAAGAACAGGAAGAAUAAGUAGGGGACAAUACCCCCUAUGAUGACGGUACUGUUUGUAAGCUCCGGCUAACUCCGUGCCAGCAGCCGCGGUAAUGCGGGGGGAGCAAGCGUUGUUCGGAUUUACUGGGCGUAAAGGGCGCGUAGGCGGUCAGCACAAGUCAGUUGUGAAAUCUCCGAGCUUAACUCGGAAAGGUCAACUGAUACUGUGCGACUAGAGUGCAGAAGGGGCAACUGGAAUUCUCGGUGUAGCGGUGAAAUGCGUAGAUAUCGAGAGGAACACCUGCGGCGAAAGCGGGUUGCUGGGCUGACACUGACGCUGAGGCGCGAAAGCUAGGGGAGCGAACGGGAUUAGAUACCCCGGUAGUCCUAGCCCUAAACGAUGAAUGCUUGGUGUCUGGGGUUAUAAAGU